rnacentral:rRNA from 1 species
GCCGCUGCAAUGGAUGACUAGGCUCUCGUGUCGAGGAAGGACGCGGCAGAACGCGAUAGCUCACGUGACCAAGCAGGACGAGCGUGAGUGUCCGAACGCAAAUUGCGCCGCUUGACGGCAUGCUUCUUUGAGGGCAGC